GUGCCAGCAGCCGCGGCAAUACGUAGGGUCCAAGCGUUAAUCGGAAUUACUGGGCGUAAAGCGUGCGCAGGCGGUUGUGCAAGACCGAUGUGAAAUCCCCGGGCUUAACCAGGGAAUUGCAUUGGUGACUGCACGGCUAGAGUGUGUCAGAGGGGGGUAGAAUUCCACGUGUAGCAGUGAAAUGCGUAGAGAUGUGGAGGAAUACCGAUGGCGAAGGCAGCCCCCUGGGAUAACACUGACGCUCAUGCACGAAAGCGUGGGGAGCAAACAGGAUUAGAUACCCUGGUAGUCCACGCCCUAAACGAUGUCAACUAGUUGUUGGGGAUUCAUUUCCUUAGUAACGUAGCUAACGCGUGAAGUUGACCGCCUGGGGAGUACGGUCGCAAGAUUAAAACUCAAAG
rnacentral:rRNA from 1 species